UUUUAUUAUUUUAAAAUGAGGAACCUUAUUAGCUCUAACUGAAAAUAGUUGUUGACUUUUUUUUCUGAUUUAUUAUUUAUAAACGAGUCCAUUUUUAAUUGAUGACUUUUACUUUUUUUAUUAGUUUAAUUAUUAAUUAUAGCAGCACAUACCCAACUGACACGAAUUGAUUCGUCUCGAUUCAGGCUCACAAAAUUGCUGAUAUAAAGUUUAUAGCGAAAAAUAAAUUUUGAGGUCAAUCAAUAUUUUUUAUUAAAAAUUAAAUUAUGAACGUACUAAGCAAUUAUCGUAAAAUAGCGCACGAAGAGAUCGUGCCUAUAUAUGAAAUUCGCCUCUACCGUCGCUCCUAUUCCUUGCGGCUACAUGCGGUGCUUACAAACGUACUCAUCUUGGUUCCUUUUGUCUAUAGUCUCACCUCUCGGGUUAAUAAUAAAUUUACUUUAUUUUUUUUAA